GUGGGGCUGUGGUUUGUCAGAGAUCAGCUGUGAUUAUCUGGCAGCAGCGCUGAAGUCCAACCCCUCGUAUCCCAGUGUGCUGGACCUGAGUGGAGACUACAACAAGCUGCAGGAUUCAGGAGUGAAGCAGCUGUGUGUUCUUCUGGAGAAUCCAAGAUGUCGAUUUGAAACUCUGAGACUGAGUCACUGUGACCUGUCAGAGAGAAGCUGUGAAGCUCUGUCCUCAGGUCUCAGCUCUCAGACCUCUAAUCUGAGACAGCUGGACCUGAGUAACAUUAACCUGAAGGAUUCAGGCGUGAAGCUUCUGUCUGAAGGACUGAAGAGUCCACACUGUACACUGGAAACUCUCAGGUGAGAUCAAGCAUUUUUCUUUCAUCAACUGACAGAAUUAGCAGAUUAAUAAUAAGGCAGUCCUCUAAUAAGAGGAGAAGUGGAGGUGUUUUGAAGGGCAACAUACUCUUAUGUUAACAAGACAGGAAGUAAUUCCUGGGAACUGCUUCCUUUGUUAUUGUCUAAGUAGAAACCUGAUGAUAAAACAGUGAUGAGUUUGCAGAGGUCAAUCCACAGCACACAACACAACAAUGCUGUGUGUGCUGAAAGCAGACUUCUCACAGAUUCUGAGACUGCAGGUUUCAUCAAUGUCCAACCAAAAUUCACCGAAUCAGCAGUAAAUGAACGUCCAAAACUACGCUUCAUGUUUAA